rnacentral:rRNA from 1 species
GUCUACGGCCAUGCUACCCUGAACAAGACUGAUCCGUCUGAUCUCGGAAGCUAAGCAGGGUUGGGCCUGGUUAGUACUUGGAUAGGAGACCGCCUAGGAAGAUCAGGUGCUGUAGGCA